GACGAAGGUGGCAAGCGUUGCUCGGAAUCACUGGGCAUAAAGCGCGCGUAGGUGGCUUGAUAAGUCGGUGGUGAAAUCCCAUGGCUCAACCAUGGAACUGCCGUCGAUACUGUCAGGCUUGAGGGCGGUAGGGGAGAGUGGAACUCCUGGUGUAGCGGUGAAAUGCGUAGAUAUCAGGAGGAACACCGGUGGCGAAGGCGGAUCUCUGGGCCAUUACUGACGCUGAGGAGCGAAAGCGUGGGGAGCGAACAGG
rnacentral:rRNA from 1 species